rnacentral:rRNA from 1 species
UGGGGAAUUUUGCACAAUGGGGGAAACCCUGAUGCAGCGACGCCGCGUGAUUUAGAAGGCCUCCGGGUUGUAAAAAUCUUUUCUAUGGGAAGAAAAUGACAGUACCAUAGGAAUAAGGACCGGCCAAUUACGUGCCAGCAGCCGCGGUAAUACGUAAGGUCCGAGCGUUGUCCGGAAUCAUUGGGCGUAAAGGGUACGUAGGCGGGUAAGCAAGUUAGAAGUGAAAUCCUGUAGCUCAACUACAGUAAGCUUUUAAAACUGCUCAUCUUGAGAUAUGGAAGGGAAAGUGGAAUUCCUAGUGUAGCGGUGAAAUGCGCAGAUAUUAGGGGGAAUACCGGUGGCGAAGGCGACUUUCUGGCCAUAAUCUGACGCUGAGGUACGAAAGCGUGGGUAGCAAACAGG